GUGAAAUUGUUGAAAGGGAAACGUUUGACACCAGUCAUGUGGGUGGAAAAUCAGUCUUUUGCAUUGGAGAGUUGUAAGGGUUCGGACCGCAAGGCCGGCUUUUGCUUCAUCUUUGGUGUAAGUGAUGCACUUUUUCAUCUACAGGUCAACAUCAGUUUCUUUUGCUGGACAAAACUCCGAGAGAAGGUAGCAGCUUAGGCUGUGUUAUAGCUCUGGAGCGAUACAGUGAAGGGGACUGAGGUUUUCGCAGCGUGUGCUCUCGGGCAAGGCUGGAUGGGUGCUAUGGGAUCGUUCGGGGUACAAUGCCUGGCAUUUUGCUUCGUGUCUUUUCUAUACUCGCUCAACUCAGCUCUUCCACGCUUAGGAUGUUGACUUAAUGGUUUUAAACGACCCGUCUUGAAACACGGACCAAGGAGUCUAACAUAUAUGCAAGUGUUUGGGUGGCAAACCCAUGCGCGUAAUGAAAGUGAACGUAGGUGCGAUCCGCAAGGUGCAGCAUCGACCGAUCUUGAUAUUUUUGGAUAGAUUUGAGUAAAGAGCAUAUAUGCUGGGACCCGAAAGAU
rnacentral:rRNA from 1 species